GGGCCCGCACAAGCGGUGGAGCAUGUGGUUUAAUUCGAUGCAACGCGAAGAACCUUACCAGGGCUUGACAUACUACAAAUUCUUUUGAAAAAGAGAAGUGCCUUCGGGAAUGUAGAUACAGGUGGUGCAUGGCUGUCGUCAGCUCGUGUCGUGAGAUGUUGGGUUAAGUCCCGCAACGAGCGCAACCCUUAUUUUUAGUUACCAAUUCGUUGGGUUUUUUAGAAAGACUGCCGGUGACAAACCGGAGGAAGGUGAGGAUGACGUCAAGUCAGCAUGCCCCUUAUGUCCUGGGCUACACACGUGCUACAAUGGUUGAGACAAUGAGUCGCAAGCUCGUGAGAGUAAGCUAAUCUAUUAAACUUAGCCUAAGUUCAGAUUGUAGGCUGCAACUCGCCUACAUGAAGUUGGAAUCGCUAGUAAUCG
rnacentral:rRNA from 1 species